rnacentral:lncRNA from 1 species
UGGACUAAGAAACAAGCACGAAAUGUUUUCGGCAUAUGGUAAAUCCGUAUAUAUGUUAGAAAGUGAUAUUACAAGGGAGACCAACAACCACAAAGUCAAAGGAUAGACCAGCCGUAUAUGUUAGGGAGAACGAAUUUCGGGAGGUCGGCAAACCCUGAAUAACUGUCACGGGUACUGGUGCCAGGGUCGAAUAACUGUAUGGAAAUGUUUUUGGUAAAAGCCGAGGAAAGGUCGUCAAUUGACUGUUCGUUAUGAGAACCUCUCAAAGCUAGCGUUUACCUCCUUGUAAAAUGGAAGGUUUGGUAACCUAAUGAUGAAGUUUAUAGCUUCAAAACUGCGCAAACCUGCCUUUUGGGGGAAAUUUCUGCACCCUGCCGUACGGCUACCGUACCAGCGAUGAAGAGCUUCUGCAACGGGUACAACGGAAGGACCCGCUGUACCAGCGGCGUUUGCCGACCCCUCAACGAAAUACGCCAAUAUGUUUCUUUCCACCUCCUAAUGCUUUUACUUUUUGUGCAAUCUAUGCGCUUUACACUUCAUCGCUCCCUUGAUUAAGUGCUCGUCCUGUAGUGCGGUACGGCAAGUGCGGCGCAGGAAUUCUCAGCCCAGAGCUGGGCAGAGGACAAGGACGGAUACCCUAGUUCGUUACAAAGAUUAGCUGGGAACAAGGCGCUAACUUCAGACAACGCAAGAUCGCCCGAUAAC